AGAAAGAGGGAGAGGAAAUGGAGACUGAGACCCUUACUGACCAACUUUAGUACUGGAACGAGUUUCAGUCUUUGGUAGCUAAAUUAUCGUUCCUUGGCCUGAGGGACAGAUUCCUAUUUCAUUCUACCAUCCUUCCCAUUGACAAUAAAGUUAAAGAUUAUGUAACUGAUCUCUGCUCGGACAGUAUUUGAUGAGAGUUUGUUGAGUGUGGUCACCGAAGAACUUCAGGAUUUAUUAAGUGGUUUGCUCAAUGCCAUAUACGGAACAGGCAACAAGUCUAGAAUAUCAUCAAUAAAGUAUUAGAAUUAGUAAAAUUAAGUGACAUUAGUAAGGAGUGGUCUGGUAGGAUAUUACAUCACAUAUACAAUUGCUAUGGACAAUUACGGAUUUGUGAAUUGUUUAAUAUUAUUGUUGAUUUUCCUGAUUCAGAAUCAGCGCUGGUUGAUUUGCGUGAGUGCUUGCGUCACGUUGAUUUGAGAGAAGAGCUCAUGGAAUCAUUAACUAAAGUGUUAGACUUAAAUUUGCAUGUAACCAAUCCAUUUUCUCUUCUAAUAAAUUAAAUAAUUUUUACGAAUGUGUUAU